rnacentral:rRNA from 1 species
GAUGAACGCUGACAGAAUGCUUAACACAUGCAAGUCGAUGGGGAAGUGGUGCUUGCACCAUGGCAACCAUGGCGGACGGGUGAGUAACGCGUAAGGGACUUACCUGCAGGACUGGGAUAACAAGGGGAAACUCCUGACAAGACCGGAUAAUGUCAUGGAGCUGCAUGGCUUUAUGAUGAAAGGAGACGCCUGCGGAGAGCCUUGCGUCCUAUUAGCUAGUUGGUGAGGUAAUGGCUCACCAAGGCGAAGAUAGGUAGCCGGCCUGAGAGGGUGGACGGCCACAAGGGGACUGAGAUACGGCCCUUACUCCUACGGGAGGCAGCAGUGGGGAAUAUUGGACAAUGGGGGCAACCCUGAUCCAGCAAUUCUGUGUGCACGAGGAAGGUUUUCGGAUUGUAAAGUGCUUUCAGCAGGGAAGAAGUAAGUGACGGUACCUGCAGAAGAAGCGACGGCUAAAUACGUG